rnacentral:sRNA from 1 species
UGCUCGGGCAGGCCGCCUUCACUUCCCUCCCGGCUUUUCCUCCCGACUUAUCCACUUUAGGGGCGUCUCGGAGUGGCGGAGGCCCCCGGGGAAGAGCGGGGUGCCGGUGUCCGCUCCGGGCUCGAAUGGGAAGUGGCGGGAGGAGCGACCCGGGAUGUUCAGUCUGAUGGCCAGUUGCUGCGGCUGGUUCAAGAGGUGGCGGGAGCCCGUCAGAAAGGUGACUCUUUUGAUGGUGGGACUUGAUAAUGCUGGUAAAACCGCAACAGCAAAGGGAAUCCAAGGAGGUCUUUUUUGGUAGAGAUGGGGUCUCCCUAUGUUGCCCAAGCUGGUCUGGAAUGCCUAGCCUCAAGCUAUUCUUCUGCCUUGGCCUCCAAGAGUGCUGGGAUUACAGGCAUGAGCCACCACGCCCAGCCCGGCCAGAAUACCCUGAAGAUGUAGCUCCUACUGUUGGAUUUUCAAAAAUUAACCUUAGACAAGGAAAGUUUGAAGUCACCAUCUUUGACUUGGGAGGUGGAAUAAGAAUUCGGGGAAUCUGGAAGAAUUACUAUGCUGAAUCGUAUGGGGUAAUAUUUGUUGUGGAUUCCAGUGAUGAAGAGAGAAUGGAAGAGACAAAAGAGGCUAUGUCAGAAAUGCUAAGACAUCCUAGGAUAUCGGGAAAGCCUAU